AUAAAAUUUGUAAGUUUUAAUAUAUAUUACCUUUAAAAAAUAAAUUGUCCUGCGGUGUACCGCAGGUUAAAAUCUAGUUGGGGUAUAAAUCGGGAGGAUGAUGUUUAGGCCAAUUUUUAUAAAACAAGUGUCCUGAGUCUUAUUGUAUACAAUAGGAGUGUCAAAAUGGGUCAAAAUUCAUGAGUCAACUCAACUCAACUCAACCCAUGAAUCCUAAUAAGUUGAAAUUUUUGACUCAAAUGAGUUGAUGGGUCAAAUGAGUUAUUGAGUCAAUUGGUUUGAUGAGUAAAAUGAGUUGAGUUGUAAUGGUUAAUGGUUUCAGUGGUUUACCCAAUUAACCCAUUAUA
rnacentral:sRNA from 1 species